AGCGUACACGGUGGAUGCCCUGGCAGUCAGAGGCGAUGAAGGACGUGCUAAUCUGCGAUAAGCGUCGGUAAGGUGAUAUGAACCGUUAUAACCGGCGAUUUCCGAAUGGGGAAACCCAGUGUGAUUCGUCACACUAUCAUUAACUGAAUCCAUAGGUUAAUGAGGCGAACCGGGGGAACUGAAACAUCUAAGUACCCCGAGGAAAAGAAAUCAACCGAGAUUCCCCCAGUAGCGGCGAGCGAACGGGGAGCAGCCCAGAGCCUGAAUCAGUGUGUGUGUUAGUGGAAGCGUCUGGAAAGGCGCGCGAUACAGGGUGACAGCCCCGUACACAAAAAUGCACAUGCUGUGAGCUCGAUGAGUAGGGCGGGACACGUGGUAUCCUGUCUGAAUAUGGGGGGACCAUCCUCCAAGGCUAAAUACUCCUGACUGACCGAUAGUGAACCAGUACCGUGAGGGAAAGGCGAAAAGAACCCCGGCGAGGGGAGUGAAAAAGAACCUGAAACCGUGUACGUACAAGCAGUGGGAGCACAGAGCAAUCUGUGUGACUGCGUACCUUUUGUAUAAUGGGUCAGCGACUUAUAUUCUGUAGCAAGGUUAACCGAAUAGGGGAGCCGAAGGGAAACCGAGUCUUAACUGGGCGUUAAGUUGCAGGGUAUAGACCCGAAACCCGGUGAUCUAGCCAUGGGCAGGUUGAAGGUUGGGUAACACUAACUGGAGGACCGAACCGACUAAUGUUGAAAAAUUAGCGGAUGACUUGUGGCUGGGGGUGAAAGGCCAAUCAAACCGGGAGAUAGCUGGUUCUCCCCGAAAGCUAUUUAGGUAGCGCCUCGUGAAUUCAUCUCCGGGGGUAGAGCACUGUUUCGGCAAGGGGGUCAUCCCGACUUACCAACCCGAUGCAAACUGCGAAUACCGGAGAAUGUUAUCACGGGAGACACACGGCGGGUGCUAACGUCCGUCGUGAAGAGGGAAACAACCCAGACCGCCAGCUAAGGUCCCAAAGUCAUGGUUAAGUGGGAAACGAUGUGGGAAGGCCCAGACAGCCAGGAUGUUGGCUUAGAAGCAGCCAUCAUUUAAAGAAAGCGUAAUAGCUCACUGGUCGAGUCGGCCUGCGCGGAAGAUGUAACGGGGCUAAACCAUGCACCGAAGCUGCGGCAGCGACGCUUAUGCGUUGUUGGGUAGGGGAGCGUUCUGUAAGCCUGCGAAGGUGUGCUGUGAGGCAUGCUGGAGGUAUCAGAAGUGCGAAUGCUGACAUAAGUAACGAUAAAGCGGGUGAAAAGCCCGCUCGCCGGAAGACCAAGGGUUCCUGUCCAACGUUAAUCGGGGCAGGGUGAGUCGACCCCUAAGGCGAGGCCGAAAGGCGUAGUCGAUGGGAAACAGGUUAAUAUUCCUGUACUUGGUGUUACUGCGAAGGGGGGACGGAGAAGGCUAUGUUGGCCGGGCGACGGUUGUCCCGGUUUAAGCGUGUAGGCUGGUUUUCCAGGCAAAUCCGGAAAAUCAAGGCUGAGGCGUGAUGACGAGGCACUACGGUGCUGAAGCAACAAAUGCCCUGCUUCCAGGAAAAGCCUCUAAGCAUCAGGUAACAUCAAAUCGUACCCCAAACCGACACAGGUGGUCAGGUAGAGAAUACCAAGGCGCUUGAGAGAACUCGGGUGAAGGAACUAGGCAAAAUGGUGCCGUAACUUCGGGAGAAGGCACGCUGAUAUGUAGGUGAAGCGACUUGCUCGUGGAGCUGAAAUCAGUCGAAGAUACCAGCUGGCUGCAACUGUUUAUUAAAAACACAGCACUGUGCAAACACGAAAGUGGACGUAUACGGUGUGACGCCUGCCCGGUGCCGGAAGGUUAAUUGAUGGGGUCAGCGCAAGCGAAGCUCUUGAUCGAAGCCCCGGUAAACGGCGGCCGUAACUAUAACGGUCCUAAGGUAGCGAAAUUCCUUGUCGGGUAAGUUCCGACCUGCACGAAUGGCGUAAUGAUGGCCAGGCUGUCUCCACCCGAGACUCAGUGAAAUUGAACUCGCUGUGAAGAUGCAGUGUACCCGCGGCAAGACGGAAAGACCCCGUGAACCUUUACUAUAGCUUGACACUGAACAUUGAGCCUUGAUGUGUAGGAUAGGUGGGAGGCUUUGAAGUGUGGACGCCAGUCUGCAUGGAGCCGACCUUGAAAUACCACCCUUUAAUGUUUGAUGUUCUAACGUUGACCCGUAAUCCGGGUUGCGGACAGUGUCUGGUGGGUAGUUUGACUGGGGCGGUCUCCUCCUAAAGAGUAACGGAGGAGCACGAAGGUUGGCUAAUCCUGGUCGGACAUCAGGAGGUUAGUGCAAUGGCAUAAGCCAGCUUGACUGCGAGCGUGACGGCGCGAGCAGGUGCGAAAGCAGGUCAUAGUGAUCCGGUGGUUCUGAAUGGAAGGGCCAUCGCUCAACGGAUAAAAGGUACUCCGGGGAUAACAGGCUGAUACCGCCCAAGAGUUCAUAUCGACGGCGGUGUUUGGCACCUCGAUGUCGGCUCAUCACAUCCUGGGGCUGAAGUAGGUCCCAAGGGUAUGGCUGUUCGCCAUUUAAAGUGGUACGCGAGCUGGGUUUAGAACGUCGUGAGACAGUUCGGUCCCUAUCUGCCGUGGGCGCUGGAGAACUGAGGGGGGCUGCUCCUAGUACGAGAGGACCGGAGUGGACGCAUCACUGGUGUUCGGGUUGUCAUGCCAAUGGCACUGCCCGGUAGCUAAAUGCGGAAGAGAUAAGUGCUGAAAGCAUCUAAGCACGAAACUUGCCCCGAGAUGAGUUCUCCCUGACUCCUUGA
rnacentral:rRNA from 1 species